GAAGAUACCAUGCUGAAUACACCGGUUCUCGUUAGAUCACCGAAGUCAAGCAUCAUUGGGCACGAGCAGUACUUGGGUGGGUGACCACCUGGGAACAC